GCCCGCGUGGCGCAAUUGGUUAGCGCGUCAGACUUUUAAUCUGAAUGUUGCGAGUUCGAGUCUCGCCGUGGGCA